rnacentral:lncRNA from 1 species
GCCGGUAAUGCAAGGUCUCAGACGCCUCCGCUCUUGUACUUGUUUCGAUUCUAUUUAUCCGCUGCCUUACAUUCUGCUGUUAGGAAGUUAUCAGCACUAGGCAUGUGAUUUUGGCAGGUGGAGGCUUUAAUUUGGUGUAUGUGCAAAUGGUGCAUACAGACUAUGGGAAAAGUGCAUAUAUACUGGGAUCAGGAAUCCAUUAACUUAUGUUAGUAUCUCUUUUUUAUUUGAUUUAAAUAUCAUCUUUUUCAUGCAUUUAAUUUGCCGCGCAGGUGUCUUAUGAUGAGAUACUAAGGAUUACAUAACUUUCUUUACCAAUUACAGCACCUAUGGUGGCAGGACAUGCUUUCUAUUUGCAGUUCUCCAACUAAAAGUCAUCUUAAGUCAACAUUGUAUAUAGAAUCUUCUUUACUUUUUUUUGAGGGUUUAGAACCUUCUUUACUUAACUAGCUGAAACUCACGGACUAUAUAUUGUCAGCUAUAUCACAUAAGCAGCCUUGCAACCACAAACCUUGCCGACUUCUCAUAUAUAUCCAAACUUUGUAAACAUUCCAUUCAUAUUUGUAAAAUUGUUAUAUGUUUAUUUGUAGUCUGCCAAGAAAAAAAAUAAAGUAGUGACCAAAUGUGCGGAAAUCCAACUCGGUGCCCAAGCCCAUCUGCUCCUGGUCAGGAAAAAAUCAAAACAAAUACUAGAAAAAUUCAAAAAAAUCAAAAUAAAUCCGUGUGAUAGAUAAUUUGAUGUGUGAGGUCUGCUUCAAAUUUCAACUCAGUUGGACAUCUGAGAAGCUCUCGGCAAAAAAGAAA